rnacentral:rRNA from 1 species
CCUACGGGCGGCAGAAGUGGGGAAUAUUGGACAAUGGGGGCAACCCUGAUCCAGCCAUGCCGCGUGUGUGAAGAAGGCCCUCGGGUUGUAAAGCACUUUCAGUGAGGAAGAACGCCUGGUGGUUAAUACCCAUCAGGAAAGACAUCACUCACAGAAGAAGCACCGGCUAACUCCGUGCCAGCAGCCGCGGUAAUACGGAGGGUGCGAGCGUUAAUCGGAAUUACUGGGCGUAAAGCGCGCGUAGGUGGCUUGAUAAGCCGGUUGUGAAAGCCCCGGGCUCAACCUGGGAACGGCAUCCGGAACUGUCAAGCUAGAGUGCAGGAGAGGAAGGUAGAAUUCCCGGUGUAGCGGUGAAAUGCGUAGAGAUCGGGAGGAAUACCAGUGGCGAAGGCGGCCUUCUGGACUGACACUGACACUGAGGUGCGAAAGCGUGGGUAGCAAACAGGAUUAGAUACCCUUGUAGUC